rfam:Methanosarcina acetivorans str. C2A, complete genome.
UAGGCUGACGCCAAGAUCCCGGAUAACCAGACAGGACACGAAAAGACAAUGACCUGCUUCCUGCCUGCCCUUGCCGGUGCCAACACCAUCUAUGGCGCCG